UUUUGGAGAGCACACCAUGUCUAUAUUUACCGUGAAACAUUAAAGACACGAGUGGAAGAAUUUGACCUCUUGUAAUCUGAAUCCGAAUCUAAGUGUCAAGCAACCUUGGACACAUAUUUUUCUGUCUCUGUGGUUUGGAUCCCACACUCUGCAGAGAGAUGUGAUGCCCUGAGUAAAGAAGAAAGCUCCCUGCCACUGCACCUGCCCAGAGGGAUGCCCCUGUGUGUGUCAGCACUUCUCCCCACCAGCUAAUUCAGGGAGCCAAUGAGGGUUGCCAAGGCGCUCCUCACUCAGCCUCACCCCUGCCCCCUGCAUCCACAACCACGUCUCCGUGACCGGCCUUAGGCCUUGGAAUUGGCCACAGAGAGGAGUCUGUACGAGGUCAGCCGUCAAGGGAAGCCAGGUGGGAGGAAGAAGAGACAAAGUCAAAGAGGCUUCCUCGGAUGAUGGGGGCCUGACUCUGCUUGGGUAA
rnacentral:lncRNA from 1 species